rnacentral:rRNA from 1 species
GAUGUACGCUAGCCACAGGCUUAACACAUGCAAGUCGAGGGGUAACAAGAGAAAAGCUUGCUUUUCUUGUUGACGACCGGCGCACGGGUGAGUAACGCGUAUCCAACCUGCCUAUAACUAGGGAAUAACCUUGCGAAAGUAAGACUAAUACCCUAUGAUUUCCUUUGAUGACAUCAGAUUAGGAAUAAAGAUUUAUCGGUUAUAGAUGGGGAUGCGUCUGAUUAGCUUGUUGGCGGGGUAACGGCCCACCAAGGCAACGAUCAGUAGGGGUUCUUAGAGGAAGAUCCCCCACAUUUGAACUGAGACACGGUCCAAACUCCUACGGGAGGCAGCAGUGAGGAAUAUUGGUCAAUGGGCGGAAGCCUGAACCAGCCAAGUAGCGUGCGGGAUGACGGCCCUAUGGGUUGUAAACUGCUUUUAUACAGGAAUAAAGUUAGCCACGUGUGGUUAUUUGUAGGUACUGUAUGAAUAAGGACCGGCUAAUUCCGUGCCAGCCGCCGCCGUAA